rnacentral:pre_miRNA from 1 species
AGCCUUCUGUAUCCGUGCUGAGAUUUCGUCAGAGAUCAACCCGUUGGCACUGGUUGAUGCAACUUCCAAAUAAGUAAAGCG